CACGGGGGUUGCAAGCGUUGUCCGGAAUUAUUGGGCGUAAAGGGUUCGCAGGCGGUCUGAUAAGUCAGAUGUGAAAGGCUAUGGCUUAACCAUAGUAAGCAUUUGAAACUGUCAGACUUGAGUAUUGGAGAGGCAAGUGGAAUUCCUAGUGUAGCGGUGAAAUGCGUAGAUAUUAGGAGGAACACCGGUGGCGAAGGCGGCUUGCUGGACAAAUACUGACGCUGAGGUGCGAAAGCUAGGGGAGCAAACAGG
rnacentral:rRNA from 1 species